GAUUCAAACUCAGGCAGUCUGAUGCCAGAGCAUGUGUUCUUAACACCACAUUUUACUAUCUCUCAAGGCUAAACAAGGUUGUUCAUGCCUGUGACAUUUAAAAUAGUAAAAUAUUAAUAAUAAACUUCAGAAAAAGGGAGAAAUAUUUGAAUAAGUUAAAACCACAGUUUUAAAGGCAUGAAAAUCUAUAUUUUAAAAUGAUAUUCAAUAGCAUAGGAAAGUCUUCACGACAUAGUAUCAAGAGAAAAGGCACAAUGUAAAAUGACACAGAGUGUUACCCCUGCUUUGCUUAACAACACAGGGUUUUGUACUUAUCUCCAUAUCAUCUAUCUCUGAAUGGGCACUGGGCUGGGUGCUGCAGAUACAAAGUUGAACAAGAUACAGUGCUUGAUUUUGAGGAAAUCACAGAGAUGUGAGGAUCCCAAGGUCAUGGGGAAAAGAUGAAAAUUACCAGUGGAAGGACUGAAGCUCAAGAAGCUAAUGAGUGGCAGAAGCUUCACUUAACCAGGUUCCUUGGAUUUUCAUCAAACUACAGCAGUUUCUUCUGUACCAUGAACCAGUUAUUCUAUUACACUACCGUGGCCAGAUCCUGGAUAGAAUUCUUUGUGGAACCAGAGGUCAGGUGGGUAGGGAGCAAGGAGGGAAGAGAACAUAAUUCAUUCCUGCGGAUCACAGUCUCCAGUUACUCCUGAUCUGAG